GUUGUAGCUCAGUGGUAUAGCGCUUGCCUAACAUGUGUGAGGCCCUGGGUUCAAUCCUCAGUAUCACA
rnacentral:tRNA from 1 species